rnacentral:misc_RNA from 1 species
GAUGAAGAACGCAGCGAAAUGCGAUACGUAAUGUGAAUUGCAGAUUUCAGUGAAUCAUCGAAUCUUUGAACGCACAUUGCGCCCGCUAGUAUUCUGGCGGGCAUGCCUGUUCGAGCGUCAUUUCAACCAUCAAGCCCUGUGCUUGUGUUGGAGCCCUGCGGCUGCCGCAGGCUCCCAAACCCAGUGGCGGGCUCGUCGUCGUACCGAGUGCAGUAAACAUACCACGCUCAGGGCACGCGACGGGUGACCGGCCGUAAAACCCCCCCCCUUCUCAAGGUUGACCUCGGAUCAGGUAGGAAUACCCGCUGAACUUAAGCAUAUCAAUAAGCGGAGGA